AGCACAAUUGCUGGGUCCUAUAGCACAAGUAUGAUCAGUUUUUAAGAAACUGCCAAACUGUCUACUAAGGUGGCUGAAUUAUUUUGCAUUCCCUCCAGCAAU
rnacentral:pre_miRNA from 1 species